AUUAAUACUUCCAUCUCUCUUUAUAAUUUAAUUUCAUUAAUUAAUACCAAUAAUUACUUAAUUCAAUUUUUCAUUAAUAAAAUUUAUUUUACAUUCUCUUCAUCUUAUUUUUGGUUUUGGGUCUGUGAAAAAGUCACCUCCAGCCGCUCAAGGUCAAGUCCAGGCCUAGAGGCCCAAUUAUUUCUAACCACAGUCCAGACCAGAACCCAAUGUUGCUGGUUUAGAGGCCUAACCGAGGCCCAACUCUAAUUGCCACCCUGAGCCUUAGGCCGCAACUCACCACUACCACCCAUGGUUGCUCCGCUGGUGCAACCACCACCGUCACCACAGACCGGAACCCUAACACGUAGAAACCGACCAUAAAACAUAGCAGCUUGAUCGCGAGAUCAAAUCCCAAAGACGCAACAGCACAGAUUCAAAAGAAUUCAAAACUUUCAAGAUCAGAGACGCAAAAACAAAAACAAAAUCCCCAUUUGAAUACCUAACUCCCAAUUUGCAAGAGCAGAUUUCUAAAUCCCGAAUGAGAGUUCCCAAAUCUGAAAAUCCUAAUUUCAAGAUGGAAAAACAAACACAGAAAGUCCCAAAAAACCUCCAAACAAAUAUGCGACCAGAUCAAGAUCACAAAAUUUCCAAACCAGAAUUCUAACUCUCAAAAUGCAAAUGGGAAACAAGAACAAGAGCUCUCAAAACACAAAUUUAGAAACAAGAAUAAAGCACCUAAAAGAGAAUUCUUGAAUAAGAUCAGAAAUUCCCAAAACGCAACAGAGUCUCCUUCCUCGUGACUCAACCCAAAAUCACAAAAUCAGAAACCUCAAAAUCCCCAAAUUGAAACCCUAACGCGAACGCCAUGCACCGCGAGAACGCUAUCUCCUCUUACAUCGCAAGUAAGAACAAGAAAGGGGAAAGGAGAAGGUCCAUCCGCACAACGAAGGACCUUGGAAGUCCAUCGCGAGCGGCCAUCGAAGGCGAGAAUACGCCUGAGUCGCGCCUCCCACGGUGUCGUCAUUCUCGCUGCCAUGAGGUCAUUACCUCUGCUCAAGACUCAGAACGUUCUCACCCCAAGACCGGGUGAUCCGCGAUAAGAAAAGAGUAAGAAGCUUGAAGCUUCUUGUUGCUCGCGUUAUAUGAAUCUGAGAAGGAAUUCAGAAAGAAUUUCCCUUGUGCGACGUGGGGUCUUCCCCUGGUUCGUUUAUGAAUCCAAUUUCAGACCCUUGUUUAGGGUCUCAAACUCAAUGCCCCCAUUAGGAAUUCAGAAACCAAAA
rnacentral:lncRNA from 1 species